CAGCCGCCGCGGUAAUACAGAGGGUGCGAGCGUUAAUCGGAUUUACUGGGCGUAAAGCGUGCGUAGGCGGCUUCUUAAGUCGGAUGUGAAAUCCCUGAGCUUAACUUAGGAAUUGCAUUCGAUACUGGGAAGCUAGAGUAUGGGAGAGGAUGGUAGAAUUCCAGGUGUAGCGGUGAAAUGCGUAGAGAUCUGGAGGAAUACCGAUGGCGUAGGCAGCCAUCUGGCCUAAUACUGACGCUGAGGUACGAAAGCAUGGGGAGCAAACAGGAUUAGAUACCCCCGUAGUCCCUGUCUCUUAUCA
rnacentral:rRNA from 1 species